rnacentral:rRNA from 1 species
GUGCCAGCAGCCGCGGUAAAACGUAGGAGCCAAGCGUUAUCCGAAUUCACUGGGCGUAAAGCGCGUGCAGGCGGCCUGAUAAGUUGGAUGUGAAAUCUCCUGGCUCAACUGGGAGAGGCCGUUCAAUACUGUUGGGCUAGAGGGCGACAGAGGGAGGUGGAAUUCCGGGUGUAGUGGCGAAAUGAGUAGAUAUCCGGGGGAACACCAGAGGCGAAGGCAACCUCCUGGGCC